AACGAACGCUGGCGGCACGCCUAACACAUGCAAGUCGAACGCUCGGGGGGCAACCCCCGGGAGUGGCGGACGGGUGAGUAACGCGUGGGAACCUGCCCUAUGGUGCGGGACAACUCCGGGAAACCGGGGGCUAAUACCGCAUGUUCCGGGUCGCGAGAUCCGGCAAAGAUUUAUCGCCAUGGGAGGGGGCCCCGCGCCCCGAUUAGCUUGUUGGUAGGGUAACGGCCUACCAAGGCUUUGAUCGGUAGCCGGUCUGAGAGGANGGCCGGCCACAC
rnacentral:rRNA from 1 species